GCGUAAUGAUGGUGGCAGGAGUGCGUAAUGAUGGUGGCAGGAGUGCGUAAUGAUGGUGGCAGGAGUGCGUAAUGAUGGUGGCAGGAGUGCGUAAUGAUGGUGGCAGGAGUGUGUAAUGAUGGUGGCAGGUGUGCGUAAUGAUGGUGGCAGGUGUGAGUAAUGAUGGUGGCAGGUGUGUGUAAUGAUGGUGGCAGGUGUGCGUAAUGAUGGUGGCAGGAGUGCGUAAUGAUGGUGGCAGGAGUGCGUAAUGAUGGUGGCAGGAGUGCGUAAUGAUGGUGGCAGGUGUGCGUAAUGAUGGUGGCAGGAGUGCGUAAUGAUGGUGGCAGGAGUGCGUAAUGAUGGUGGCAGGAGUGCGUAAUGAUGGUGGCAGGAGUGCGUAAUGAUGGUGGCAGGUGUGCGUAAUGAUGGUGGCAGGUGUGCGUAAUGCAGGGCAGCCUGGUGCCCUUGAGCGCUGGAUGGGGAAGAGUGGGAGCAGGCGUGACAGCAUCAUGCAGAGUGAACGGCAAGAAGGUAUUCGUGACUCCGUGGGCGAACAACUUCUCUCCCCUUGAGUGACAGGAGGCGGGGCUUGCUGUGGUUUGUAGUAGGCAUGCAGCAGCAAGAGGGAGAGAGAUGACUCAAGGAGCAAAUGGAGUAAAGUAUAAAAACAUGACAUUAUACGCGUCAUAGUUGUGUAUCACAUUUGACAAACCAAACAUUCAAAUACCGUUAUAGAAGGUAGAGUAAAAACAACAGUUCCAUACCUCAACACUGGCAUAUAGUCAAAUACGGUACAGCACCCUGCACCAGUAGAGAUAUAGUCAAAUACGGUAUAGCACCCUGCACCAGUAGAGAUAUAGUCAAAUACGGUAUAGCACCCUGCACCAGUAGAGAUAUAGUCAAAUACGGUAUAGCACCCUGCACCAGUAGAGAUAUAGUCAAAUAUGGUAUAGCACACUGCACCAGUAGAGAUAUAGUCAAAUAUGGUAUAGCACCCUGCACCAGUAGAGAUAUAGUCAAAUACGGUAUAGCAUCCUGCACCAGUAGAGAUAUAGUCAAAUAUGGUAUAGCACCCUGCACCAGUAGAGAUAUAGUCAAAUAUGGUAUAGCAUCCUGCACCAGUAGAGAUAUAGUCAAAUACGGUAUAGCAUCCUGCACCAGUAGAGAUAUAGUCAAAUACGGUAUAGCACCCUGCACCAGUAGAGAUAUAGUCAAAUAUGGUAUAGCAUCCUGCACCAGUAGAGAUAUAGUCAAAUACGGUAUAGCACCCUGCACCAGUAGAUAUAUAGUCAAAUACGGUAUAGCACCCUGCACCAGUAGAGAUAUAGUCAAAUACGGUAUAGCACCCUGCACCAGUAGAUAUAUAGUCAAAUACGGUAUAGCACCCUGCACCAGUAGAGAUAUAGUCAAAUACGGUAUAGCAUCCUGCACCAGUAGAUAUAUAGUCAAAUACGGUAUAGCACCCUGCACCAGUAGAGAUAUAGUCAAAUACGGUAUAGCACCCUGCACCAGUAGAGAUAUAGUCAAAUAUUGUAUAGCACCCUGCACCAGUAGAGAUAUAGUCAAAUACGGUAUAGCACCCUGCACCAGUAGAGAUAUAGUCAAAUACGGUAUAGCACCCUGCACCAGUAGAGAUAUAGUCAAAUACGGUAUAGCACCCUGCACCAGUAGAGAUAUAGUCAAAUAUUGUAU